rnacentral:rRNA from 1 species
UACGUAGGGUGCGAGCGUUAAUCGGAAUUACUGGGCGUAAAGCGUGCGCAGGCGGUUUUGUAAGCCGGAUGUGAAAUCCCCGGGCUUAACCUGGGAAUGGCAUUCGGGACUGCAAGGCUGGAGUGCGGCAGAGGAGACUGGAAUUCCUGGUGUAGCAGUGAAAUGCGUAGAUAUCGUUUGGAACGCCAAAGGCGAAAGCAGACGACUGGGGCUGAGCUGACGCUGAGACACGAAAGCCAGGGGAGCAAACGGG